AGAUUGAACGCUGGCGGCAGGCCUAACACAUGCAAGUCGAGCGGUAGAGAGGUGCUUGCAUCUCUUGAGAGCGGCGGACGGGUGAGUAAUGCCUAGGAAUCUGCCUAGUGGGUGGGGGAUAACGUUCGGAAACGGACGCUAAUACCGCAUACGUCCUACGGGAGAAAGCGGGGGACCUUCGGGCCUCGCGCCAUUAGAUGAGCCUAGGUCGGAUUAGCUAGUUGGUGAGGUAAUGGCUCACCAAGGCGACGAUCCGUAACUGGUCUGAGAGGAUGAUCAGUCACACUGGAACUGAGACACGGUCCAGACCUCCGUACGGGAGCAGCAGUAGGGAAUAUUGGACAAUGGGCGAAAGCCUAGACUCCAGCCAUCGCCGCGUGUGUAGAAGAAGGUCUUACGGAUUAGAAAGUCUAACUUUAAGGUUGGAAGGAAGGCUAAUUAACCUAAUUACGUUAGUGUUUUGGCGUUACGACAAGAAUAAGCCGACGGACUAACUCGUGUC
rnacentral:rRNA from 1 species